CGGCUUUAUGACAUCAUCUUACAGAAUCUUGUGGAAUUGCUCCAGCUUCCUGGUUUAGAGGAAGACAAAGUCUUCCAGAAAGAGAUAGGCCUCAAGAUUCUGGUGUUCAAAGCUUACAGGUGUUUUUUCAUUGCUCAGUCCUAUGCGCUGGUGAAGAAGUGGAGCGAAGCACUUGUCCUGCAUGAUAGCAUCCUGAAAUAUGCAGAUGAAGUAAAUUCUGAUGCUGGCACCUUCAAGAACAGCCUAAAGGUGAGAGGUUGGCCUCUCCUUGUUUGUAAGCCCUGGCACGUUAUGGAGUUGGCUGUGGAGGAGCCGUGAGGGUACAACAGCUGGGCUCCACCUCAGGCUGGUCCUCCCUGGCUGUGCAUGGGACCUGGUGUGGCCCUGACUGCCCAGGAGCUGCAGGCUGUGUCACUCAUGGCUGUGCUCCAGGCCUGAGGAGGAUUUAGGUUUGAAGAAGGGAAGGCGUUUUUCUGAUUUCAAAGAAACAAAAACCUCCACAGGAAAACCUGAAGUACUGCUCUCAGACUUGACUACACGUUGAAAUCUCUUAGGAAGAUUUUUUUCAAUGUAGAUGUCUGGGUGGCACCCCCAGAGAUUGUGGUUCUAAUCAGUGUGAGGGAUCUGAAGUGGGCACUGGGACUUUGAAAGGCCCCUUAAUGAUUUUGACAUGCAACAAAGUGAGAAGCACUGGUGCAGCCAU
rnacentral:sRNA from 1 species